rnacentral:rRNA from 1 species
AUGCGGCAGGCGUCGUUCUUCACCGGCACGUCGACGGGGCCACGGCGGCCACGUGAGCCCCGAGCGGCUCCCCAGGCGCGCGGGCGUACGCGGGUGCGCGGCCUGACACCCACGCCGUCGCUGUCGCCGUCGCCAUCUCCAUCGCCACCCCCACCUCCUCGCAUGACGGUGGAGAAGGCCCGACUCAUGACGUGUGCGCUAGAGGACUCCAUGCACACGCACGAUGAGGGCCAAUGGGAGGGCCUCGAGGAGAUGAUGGCCCUCUCCGCGGCCGGCGAUGUCGCCAUCCCCGAGGUGGAGAUGGUGCCGAAGGAGGAGGUGGUGGAGCCGCCGGUGGCCGCGUUCCAACCCUGGCCUGGUGGGCCAGGGAUGGAGCUGGUUGUGCACCGCUGA